GAUUUAACAUUAUUUUGUUUGAUAAGUAUCGUAAGAAGAUUUUGAAGUGUCUUAUUGAAGGCGCAUUUAUUGAUUCAGAUGGGUCUCGGCGUGCAAAAAAGUUUAUGGUAGUUUUUUUUUGAAAUUCGAACUUUGAAAACUGAUUACAGA
ensembl:ncRNA T04C12.27 ncRNA